CAGAGAUUCCUAGGUUAGACCCAGAGAAAAGAAAGAAAGUUACAGUGUGUGGAGGGUGCAUUUUUGAAAACUAUGGAGCCAUUCUCUGCUCUGGUGAGCUAAACUCAGGAAGUAGAGUCCCAGACAAAUGCCACUGAGGUUCAUUGUCUCAACCUAGGAUGAAUAAGGCCACAGACAAGGAGUCAGCACUGAGGGGCAAGUGAGAACUCACCAGGGGCUUCAGGCUCUGUCGGGUCCCCUGGGAGACCCAUGGAGACUAGGGAAUCUUUGGGGAUUUUCAGCAUCUCCAGUGAACCCAGUAAGGCCUCUGCAGACCCCCUCAGCCCCAGAGAAGAAGUGAUCCUGUUACUGGUCCAUUUAGGAGGGGGCUGGUCUUGAAAGAAAAGGGAUUAGACUGGUCAUGGACCAAGGCUAACAAAGUAAGUGAGCAUAGAUUCUGGUGUGGAGUGUCAAAGCUAGACCAAGGCAGACAGGCCCAAGGAGAUACUGUGCUCAAGUAGGUAUUGGGGCUCAGCUAAACAGCCCAAAAGGAUCGGAGAGACAAGAGUAGUCACCACCCCCAUGGUUCCAUCAGAGUCUCUAACCCAAGGCCCAGAGGAAUUUAGCCCAGAGAAAAUGUUGCUUCCCCAACCCCUAACCAGGAAUAGAAUUGGGGUCUGUAGGGUUGGUAAAAUAUUAGAGAGGGACUCCAGGCUGGGGGUGGGGCCUGGACGCUUCCUUGGAGGAAUAUGUGUUUGUGGGGUUGGGUAGGUAGCUGUCACUCCUGCUAGGGAAGUCCACCUGUAAAUCUGACCACCCUCCUGCACUGCAAAGGACAUCAGAUGCCAAGAUCCUGACUUCCCAGGCUCCAACUUCCAAAAGCCAGGCCGAAGCGUGGGAAGCUUCAGGGAGUUGGAAUUUCCCUCUCCUGGCAGCAGGCCCAAGAGUGUCCCUCCAGAGCUGGCAGCGGGCACGCUGCUGGCAAAGCCAGCCUUCUCUUCCUGUUGUACCAUUUUGUGCUCAGCACCUGUCACCUGUCCUCUAGAAAGAGGGAGCCUGGAGUGGCGUUUGUCCUGAGGGUAGUGAUGGGAAGGCGAGUGAUGCACACAUCCUGAGGUGUGUGCAUGUGUGCACUUGCAGGCAUGAGUGCUUGCACCUGUGCACCUAGUUGUAGUCAACCACCUGAAGGCUUCAGAAUCCUAGGACGUUUGGCUUAGGACUUGGCAGUUGGGGGGAAGUUAAGAAGGGGUCUUAUGUAGCUAAAGCUGGCCUCUAGCCAAGGGUAACCUUCAACUCCUGAUUCACCUCCACUUCUUGAUUGCUGGGAUUGCAGGCAUGCACCACCAUGCAUAGUGUAUACUGUACUGAGGGCAGAGCCCAGGCUUAGUGCAUGUUUGGCAAACAUGCUACCAACUGGUCCACAUCAUCAGCCCCCUCCCCCAAAACUGUUUUGAUCUAGGUCUUGCUAUGGGGAUGGCUUGGAACUCAGCCAUCCUCCUGUCUCAGCCCCCUGAGUAUGGGGAUCAAACAGAUGUGUGCCGCCACACUGGGUGAUCUUGAUCCUUCCUUGCCUUGCGAGCCAAGAGGCAGUACAGCAUGCGGUAAAGAUACAGAACCUGAAGCCACAGUUGCUGCCUCAGUUUCCCCCUCGUAAUGUCAAAAUGGAGCUAACAACAUCUACCUCUGGGGAUUGGGAGUGAGACCGUGUUUUGGCGUGGCAGGGGCAGAGGGAAUGGUUCUUGUCGUACCUGGGCACUCUGGUAGCAGUUCCCUGUCUUCUGUAAGGUGCUCUGAGCAGGCUGAGCCUGUGAACUUGGAAAGAUCUGCCUCCCGACAUUCCUUCCCCCACUUCCCCCAGGUCUGCCAGCCUGUGGCUAUUUGUAGCAAUGACUACAUCUCUGGGCCCUUGUAUGGAGGGGUUGCUAUGCGUGUGUGAUCAAAGAGAGGGACUGGGAUACCACAGCACAGACUGGUGUACGAACUUGCGCCCUCCAUCGCUGUCCUCGGAUUCUAGUGCUGAACCCCAAGAUUGGGCAACCUGCAGCCCCAGCCCUGCCAAGCCCCUCUACCACCCACUAGCUUCCUUGGCUACGCCCCUUUCCGGGCUCCUCCCUCCUGCCCCUUUGCAGGGCAUAGUCUCUGUUCUGUAGCCCCGCCCCUGGUCACGCCUCCUCAUAUUGGCUCCUCCCUCGGCGGUUCUCUAGUCUGAGCUCCCAGGCCUCACUCCCUCCCAUAAACCCUACCCUCUCCUGGCUCCUCUUUUCCUCCAGCGACUAUAUCCCUCCUCCUGGUGGUCCUUUCCCCAGCUCCCCUGUGCCCACUCUCUCUCCUCCUUCAACUCCUCCCUCUUCCAGGCUGUCCCUGUCCUCCAACCCACAACUACCCUGUUCCCACACACCACCCUGCCUAAAUUUCCUCUCUCCCACCUCCUGGUGGUCCUUUCCCCAGCUCACUUGUCCCACCCCCUCCCGUCAGCGGCAACUCCCUCCUUCAGCCUAGACUCUCUUAACGGCUGAUUCCCCCGCCCCAGUUCCUCUGUCCCCGCCCCCUUCCCCCGGCCUCCUCCCAAGCUGUAUUCCCCUACCUCUCCAGUCUAGCCCCCUCUCCGGGGCUGCUCUCUCAACUCCCCCCUUUUCUCUGUCCCCGCCCCCUCCCCUGGGCUCCGCCCUCCUCCCGGCCCCUUCCCGGUUCCCCUCCUCGCAUCCCCUCUCCUCCCUCCUCCCUGCUCUCCCUCAGUCCCCGGCUCCUCUCCCUCUUUCUCCCUUUUCUCCUCGGGCGGAGGCGCCCACCGCGGGGGCCCAGCGGGGACCGGCCCGGCCGCAAGGCAGGACCUCACCACCCCCAAUGGCUCCCUUGGCUUUGAUGGGGGUUGUUCUCCUUCUGGGGGUACCCCACUGCUUGGGGGAAGCCACUCCGACCCCUUCCCUACCGCCUCCCACAGCUAAUGACAGCGAUGCCAGCCCAGAAGGCUGCCAAGGUUCCUACCGCUGCCAACCAGGUGUGCUGCUGCCUGUGUGGGAACCCGAGGACCCAUCGCUGGGCGACAAGGUUGCACGGGCCGUGGUGUACUUUGUGGCCAUGGUCUACAUGUUCCUGGGUGUGUCUAUCAUUGCCGAUCGAUUUAUGGCAUCCAUUGAGGUCAUCACAUCCAAGGAGAAAGAGAUCACCAUCACCAAGGCAAAUGGGGAGACCAGCGUGGGCACGGUGCGCAUCUGGAACGAGACGGUGUCCAACCUUACACUCAUGGCCCUGGGCUCCUCAGCGCCUGAGAUUCUGUUGACUGUCAUCGAGGUCUGUGGCCACAACUUCCAGGCCGGUGAGCUAGGCCCAGGCACCAUCGUGGGCAGUGCCGCCUUCAACAUGUUUGUGGUCAUUGCUGUUUGUGUGUAUGUCAUCCCGGCUGGCGAGAGCCGUAAGAUCAAGCACCUGAGGGUCUUCUUUGUCACAGCCUCCUGGAGCAUCUUUGCCUAUGUCUGGCUUUAUCUCAUUCUAGCAGUUUUCUCCCCAGGUGUAGUCCAGGUGUGGGAGGCACUGCUCACACUGAUCUUCUUCCCGGUGUGUGUGGUGUUUGCCUGGAUGGCGGACAAGCGACUGCUCUUCUACAAGUACGUGUACAAGCGCUACCGCACCGACCCUCGCAGUGGAAUCAUCAUCGGGGCAGAGGGAGACCCACCCAAGAGCAUCGAGCUGGACGGCACAUUCGUGGGCACUGAGGUCCCUGGCGAGCUGGGCGCAUUGGGCACAGGUCCUGCUGAGGCGCGUGAACUAGAUGCCAGCCGGCGUGAGGUCAUCCAGAUCCUUAAGGACUUGAAGCAGAAGCACCCGGAUAAGGACCUGGAGCAGCUGAUGGGCAUCGCCAAGUACUAUGCACUGCUGCACCAGCAGAAGAGCCGCGCCUUCUACCGCAUCCAGGCCACGCGGCUGAUGACAGGUGCGGGCAAUGUGCUGCGCAGACAUGCUGCGGAUGCUGCCCGCAGGCCGGGAGCCACCGAUGGUGCCCCCGAUGAUGAGGACGAUGGUGCCAGUCGCAUCUUCUUUGAGCCCAGCCUCUAUCACUGCCUGGAAAACUGCGGGUCAGUGCUGCUGUCCGUGGCUUGCCAGGGCGGUGAGGGCAACAGCACCUUCUACGUGGACUACCGUACCGAGGACGGUUCUGCAAAGGCAGGCUCCGAUUAUGAGUACAGCGAGGGCACGCUGGUGUUCAAGCCCGGGGAGACGCAGAAGGACCUGCGCAUCGGGAUCAUCGACGACGACAUCUUCGAGGAGGAUGAGCACUUCUUCGUGAGGCUGCUGAACCUGCGUGUGGGCGAUGCUCAGGGCAUGUUCGAGCCCGACGGCGGUGGGCGGCCCAAGGGGCGGCUGGUGGCGCCGCUGCUGGCCACUGUCACCAUCCUGGACGACGACCACGCGGGCAUCUUCUCCUUCCAGGACCGCCUGCUGCAUGUGAGCGAGUGCAUGGGCACUGUGGAUGUGCGCGUGGUUCGCAGCUCGGGCGCCCGUGGCACUGUACGCCUCCCCUACCGCACAGUGGACGGCACGGCCCGUGGCGGUGGUGUACAUUACGAGGAUGCUUGUGGAGAGCUGGAGUUCGGCGAUGAUGAGACCAUGAAAACUCUUCAGGUCAAGAUAGUGGAUGAUGAAGAGUAUGAGAAGAAGGACAACUUCUUCAUUGAGCUGGGCCAGCCCCAGUGGCUUAAGCGAGGCAUCUCAGCUCUGCUACUCAACCAAGGGAAUGGAGACAAGAAGAUAACUGCAGAGCAGGAGGAGGCCCAGAGGAUAGCAGAGAUGGGCAAGCCAGUUCUUGGGGAGAACAAUCGCCUCGAGGUCAUCAUCGAGGAGUCUUAUGACUUUAAGAACACGGUGGAUAAACUCAUAAAGAAAACGAACCUGGCCUUGGUGAUUGGGACUCACUCAUGGAGGGAGCAGUUUAUAGAGGCAGUUACCGUAAGCGCAGCUGCAAGGCAUGCUGGGAAAGCAGUUCAUGUGGAACUGUCUGGAAGCCUAACACAAUGGAGCUGUGUAAGCAAGGAAGUCUGAGGCAUGAUGUGUGCCCCAGCUGGGUCAUGUGCCCACAGGGGACGAGGAGGAGGAUGAGGAUGGACCUCGUGAGGAGCGGCUGCCGUCCUGCUUUGACUACGUGAUGCACUUCCUGACGGUAUUCUGGAAAGUUCUAUUCGCCUGCGUUCCACCCACGGAGUACUGCAAUGGCUGGGCCUGCUUUGGUGUCUGCAUCCUGGUCAUUGGUGUGCUCACUGCCCUCAUCGGAGACCUGGCCUCACACUUUGGGUGCACCGUGGGCCUCAAGGACUCAGUCAACGCCGUGGUCUUCGUAGCCCUGGGCACCUCCAUCCCUGACACGUUCGCCAGCAAGGUGGCCGCGCUGCAGGACCAGUGUGCCGACGCGUCCAUCGGUAACGUGACCGGCUCCAAUGCGGUGAACGUGUUCCUGGGCCUGGGUGUGGCCUGGUCGGUGGCAGCGGUAUACUGGGCGGUGCAGGGUCGCCCCUUCGAGGUGCGUGCAGGCACGCUGGCCUUCUCGGUCACGCUGUUCACCGUCUUCGCCUUCGUGUGCAUCGCAGUGCUGUUGUACCGGCGCCGGCCGCAGAUUGGCGGCGAGCUGGGCGGCCCGCGGGGACCCAAGCUGGCCACCACCGCUCUCUUCCUGGGCCUCUGGUUCCUCUACAUUCUCUUCUCCAGCCUGGAGGCUUACUGCCACAUCCGGGGCUUCUAGGGCCCUAGCCACCGCCCUGAGGGUGGGGACUUGGUGGCAUUUGCUCUUGGACCCACCAGUCUCUCUACCCAGACUCAGCCUGGGCGCUCCCUAGGCUCUUCCUCCUCAGCCUUCUUCCUGGGAUCAGCCUCCCUUUCCCCCUGGAAUCCCAUCCUUUGCCCUCCCUUCUCAGCUGCAUCCCCUUCAGCCCAUCCUUUGUGAGGUAAACCCGAGUCCCCUGGCCAGACACUACUUCUCGGUCUUUCUGGGCACCGAGCCUGAUUCUGUCUUCUCGUGUCCCUCCCUCAAGCCACGAACUUCCACCUGUGCGCCCAGGUCUUAGAACAUCUCCCUAGGUACCUCAGAGGGAGGCUGUGCCAUCCCAGGACGCCAUCCAUCUCUGCCCUUAACCACCCCAACCCUCAGGGAGCUCCCUUGCAGUCCCCAGGGAAAGGAAUAGGGGUUUGUGCGGGGAGCAGGGAGAAAGGCACGCACCUUCCCUGAUUUAUCCACUCAGAGGCUUGGAGAUGGAGGAGGGACGUUUGGAGUAUCUGUCCCCCAGGCUUAGCCAGAGGAGGCACAUCUUGAACCCACUACUUCUGACAUUCCAGCGCCCUACUCACCCUCCACUACCUCUGAGAGCCUAGCCACGCCUUGGAGGGAGGAGCCUGUGUGUGUAUAUAGUGUGUUUGGGGAGGGGGGACACGGGAGGGUGCAUGUCUUGGGGAAAGGGGCGUUGACAGACUUUCCCUUCUGAGAGGGCAGCAGGACUCACUCAGCCUGAGAACCAGCUUAGUGGAUGAGACUGAGACUCAAAGGGAGCCCACCUGACCUCCCCUGACAGUAUUCUAGAAGGGUUAACGAAAGUACUCUAGUCUAGAAGGUUUAUUUUGCUCUCAGUGCCAGCCAAUCUGGGCAGGACCCUCGAAGAGGAGACCGAGGGUCCCAGAGGACCAAUGCUACAAGCCAGCAAAUGCUGCCACAUCUCUGCCUGUUGGGGGGCGGGGGUGGAGGGGAGGGUGGGAGGGGGGCUGGGUGGGCAUUUUUAACUUUGCAGGCCAUACAUCUGUUGGUAGGCCACCUGCAUUUUCUUACUGUUGAUGUCUCCUGCCCCAAAAAAGACAUCCUUGGGGAACGGGGAGUGCUGCCCACUCCUUGCGACCUUAGGUGACCCUGCCACCCUCACAGCCUUCUGCUUUCCCUAAGUUAUUAUUUUUGCAUUUUCUUGUCCAUUUGUGCAUCAGACCCAUUACCCACGGCCCUUCUCACCCCUUGCUCAUCAGCAUCACUUGAUGUCCCUUCUCUGUGGUUUCUGUAAAAAACUGCCAUAAAACUUUGAAAUUCUGCCUGAACAGUCCUCCCGUGGGAAGUUGGGGUGCAGGAGGAAAGGGAUGGUAGCAGCUCCGACAUCUAGACCACAGGAAACAGACCCGGCAGCCUUUGCAUUAGAGUUGGCCAGACAGCAGGACACCAGCAUACGCUAACCACAUUCAAUGUUACCAGAGCCUCCACCAGCCACAACCAUAACUAAAAGCCAUAGGCUUCUGGUACCACGCCUUACCCAUUAGCCAAGAGCAUCUACUAGUUUCACCCCUGCCCAUUAGCCAUUGGUUUCUAGUACUGAUGUUCCACCCAUCAAUCAUGAGCCUCCACUAGCCACGCCCCUGCCAAGCAGCCAUAGGUUUCUAGUACCAUGCCCCACCCAUCAACCAAGAACCUAGCCCUGGUUGCCACGCCCCUCACAGUCCUGAGCUUCUGCUGGCCACACCCCACUCACCAGCCACAAAUGGUUCCUCUUCAUAGGAUAUUGUGGGAUUGCAAAAGAGAAGGACUCUAAUUUGCCUGAGCCAGAGGGAGCUGAGGUUGAUGAAGUUUCCUAAAUAAAAUAGGUCACUUUCUCAGAA